AAGUCGUAACAAGGUCUCCGUAGGGGAACCUGCGGAGGGAUCAUUUCUGUUUAAGGUGGGUUUGGGAUUGGAGGGUGUUGUUGCUUUAACCAUUGGCUUAGCAAUAAGACAAUGGAGCGAGUGGCAUAUGUCUUUUUUUCCCUUACCCAUUCACAAAAAGUUGGAUGUGCUCUUAAUCAAAAAUGGGGGGAAUCGUGUAUGUGUGUGGGGGGUGCAAACCUCUUGUGCAUAGGCAUCUCCCCCUGUUUUCAAUAAACUGUCAUCAAGGUAUCCUUAACUGAAUCCGAUACAAGAAAUCUAAACUUGACAACUAUCAACGGCGGAUCUCUUGGUUCGU
rnacentral:misc_RNA from 1 species